CUGUCCGAGGGGCGCUGCAGCAGGUUAAACCUGUCAGGCUCGGAUGGGGCGUUGUCCGCAAGGCCUGCCUGCGGACACUAAACGCACAACGGCGCCCAUUCGCA
rnacentral:ncRNA from 1 species